rnacentral:tRNA from 1 species
AGGCUCCGGCGCGCUCUUAACGCACAUCAAUGAGCUUGCAACUCAACAUGAACUUCACCACAGAGCC